CUAUUUGCGUACGUGCUCAUAAUCUUGGCUGAUAACCGCCAUUCGCUAUAUACAUCGUUGGUAUCGACGUCAAAGGAUUAACACAGACAAAUACACAAUCCAUACAAUCCGAUUUGAUUGAUUUUAGAUCUUGCAUCAAACAGAUCUCUAUAUAAACAGAUAAUUUCUGAUUCUAAACAUUUGUAUUACGUUCGUCUAAUUAUUAGGAUAUUAGAUAUAUUAUAAAGGAAGAUAUUAUGUAUUAAAUAAUCUGCCUCUUGCAAAAUAUACGAAUGCGAUCUAUAUGUAUAAACGAUCACAAACAAGACACAACUACCGUCUGAUAAAUAACAUAUAAAUAACAUAAUAAACAAAUUUUUUUGUAAAUAGUAAAAUCUUAUGAUGAUUAGUUUUUCGUUGGUCGGAGCUGUGUAAGAUAUUUUGUGUAAUUGGAAAUUUAACGCAAAGUUGUAGGUUAUCGGUUUGUUUUCCUUUGUAUAAAUUGAAUUGCGAGCAUGAAUGGACGAUGCAUCUGGAGAAAUGGACUGUGACGAAUAACAACGAGCAGCAAGAGGAUUAACAAGAGGAAGAAGGAAAAGAACGUUUAAUCGUUGAUAAUGAGAAAAUGUAUUAUCUGGUUGGUUGCGUGCGAGCGUGAGAGAAAAAGUGUGAAACGAGGGAAGGGCUGGGAGAAGUAUCUUGUAAAUGUGUAAAUAACAAGUGUAAAUAAAAUAAUUUGGAAAUGUGAAACGUUUUGCGUAAAACAAGUAAUGAUAAGAGCGUAAAAAUAUGGGGUGAAAAGACGAGGUGUGUAAUAAAGAUGCGUAAAUAAAAUAAACGCGUUGCUAACUUGGGUGCGUGGAAGGGUGGAGCAGGAAAGGUAAUAGCGAUGUUAAUUAAGCAUGGGAAUUUGUCAAAACAUGGGUUAGUUUUGUUAGAAAAUUGUAAAAUAUGUAAAAAGAUUGUAGACGUUAGAUGCGUGAAAGUUGAAAGAAGUAAGAAAAGAAGGAAAAGAGAGUAUAAAAUGAUAAUAGGUAAUACGUAAGGCAAUAUAAUUUUCUGGAUGGUAAAAGAAUGGAUUUGUUUGGAUUCUAGGAGACUAAAGAAUAAAUAAAGAUCCAUUUAGGAGAUACGUGCGCGUCGUUUAUUCGACCAUUGACCAUAAAUUGUGAAAGUAGGCUUUAAAAAGAUAAAUGACGGAUAGAAUAGCUUUUAAAGAUUAAGAAUAUGGUUGCGUUAAGAAAGGCGUAAUUGUGAAAUGUAUGGGUAAUGGAAUAAAAUACCAUUACGAAAGAUAAUAAUUAUAUCUGGAAAUAUAUUAAUAAGGAAUAACACGAUUGGAAUCUUGUAAUUAUACGGAUAAUAUAUGGAAAGUGAUUAACGUUAAAUGACUUCCAUUUAAAGGAACGAAAGGUAUUAGAAAUAAAAUGGAACGGUAUUAUUAAAUGUAGUAAUUAUAUAGAAUUAUAGGAAAUAUGCUGGUAAUUACAUCCUUGGUGUAGGCUUGGAUGAGAAUUAUAGUGCGUUACAAAGUCUGACAGGAAAGAAGAACGUCGGAAGAAGGUUUGGUGGAAGGGAAUAGAGAGAAAGAAAAUUUGUUGAAAGGUGUAAUGUUAUUUGAGAAAGGAAAGUUGGCAUAGAAGGAAGAGGGAAAUGUAUAGGACUUGAUAAAUUUAAUAAGUGGUAAAUGGGUGGUGAGUAGAAAGAAGGGCAGAGAAUAAUAGAGUGUAUCUAAAAUAUUUCUCUGAUGAAAAGGUAGAAGACAAAAGAGCGGUGAUUGUG